ACUGAACUCCCAUCGAAGAGAUUUAAACUUCUUCAGAUAAGCACAAGAAGCUGGGGAUUUGCUGCUGCACUGUGAAGUCUCCAAGAAUCUCUUGUGUUUAUGAUCACUGUAGUUUCGAUGCACAUGUGACAAAUAAAGGUCAUUGAUCUCGUUCCUGAACCCUUGUUCUCGGAGGAAAAUGAGUUGGGGAAGAGAAUGGUUCAAUUGCCCUUUCAGUAGACCUCAAUACAAGGCUUAGAAGAAUAAGAGGGAUACUCAUUGAAACCUACUGAAUACUGAAAGGACUAAAUGGAUUGGACAUGGAGAGGAUGUUCCCAGUAGUGGAAGAGUCUAGACCAGAGGACAGAGCCUCAGAAUAAGACGUCCCUUUAGAACGGAGAUAAAGUGGAAUUUCCUUGGCCA